GGGGCUGAUUCUGGAUUCGACGGGAUUUGCGAAACCCAAGGUGCAUGCCGAGGGGCGGUUGGCCUCGUAAAAAGCCGCAAAAAAUAGUCGCAAACGACGAAAACUACGCUUUAGCAGCUUAAUAACCUGCUUAGAGCCCUCUCUCCCUAGCCUCCGCUCUUAGGACGGGGAUCAAGAGAGGUCAAACCCAAAAGAGAUCGCGUGGAAGCCCUGCCUGGGGUUGAAGCGUUAAAACUUAAUCAGGCUAGUUUGUUAGUGGCGUGUCCGUCCGCAGCUGGCAAGCGAAUAUAAAGACUGACUAAGCAUGUAGUACCGAGGAUGUAGGAAUUUCGGACGCGGGUUCAACUCCCGCCAGCUCCACCA
rnacentral:tmRNA from 17 species